ACAAUCGAAGUUGUCCUAUGUUUACCGAAGUGGCGAUUAUAUAUAUUUCAAUAGCCUCUUAUGUUCUUUAUUGUUGGAUUUGCUGAUAAACUACCUUUUGUGUUGUUUAUUACUUUGCAGGUUUACUGGUUUUAGUUCAGAUGGAAGAUCUCCAGGAUUAGGAAGGAUUCAGGAUGAUAAUGUUGUAGAUGCGAAUGAUGAGUAUGAGGAGAAAGCGAGAGAUCAUACCUUAAGUGGAAGAAGAACAAGGUGAUCUCUCUGUCACAAGGGGAAUGUUGUGAGAACAAGGUGAUCUCUUUGUUCCUGCAUUUUUAUGUAAUUAAUUUAUUAUAUAUUUUUGCAAACUGGAUAAAGAAAUGUUGUGAAUGCACUAGACUUGUUGUGGUCAGGACUUACUCGAGCCUUGCAGCGUGAAUGCAGUAGCACGCAGCGCUAGGUCGAGCACACUGGCCUUUACGACAAGAGACCGGUACCAUCAGAUUCGCUUUAGUUCUUGCUUGGUUGCUUACUAGGUUCCUAUAAGAGAAAGGCCAGGUUCACCUUUUUUCCUGCUGCAAAGAUCACCAUCAUACAUGCAUUUGGCCUUUAUUUAUGUGAAUUUCUUUGUAAUUAUUUGAUUUGGUUACAUGCUAAUAAGGCAUACCAUGAUACCAAAACUUACCAGAUGUAAAUCUUGCAACCACCAACUAAUGAUUUUGAGGUUUAACUUUUGCUUCUGUGUUGAGUAUGUUGGUCUAAUGGUGAAGAGCUUCCAGGGCUUGUUGCUUGUCGGUUUGCAAGGCGUUGGUUCUUGAGGCAAGCUUAUUUGGAGCCUCCAGUUUGUCCUGGCAUCAUGAAAAGGAUGCCUGCAAUGGCCUUCGUCAUCGAUUUGAGAAAAAGAGUCUCAGUAAGGUGAUUUGGAAGAAGGAGGUUACCAGUACUUGGCAAAACUGUUGUGUUGGAGGAGGGCGAAUUAUCCAUAUAAUAAUUUUGUAUUUACUUUAGUUCGGCACUGAAAAAUGGUUAGCUAUAGUUCUGAAAAAGCAGAUUGGUGCUUUUGCAACACCAUCACAUAAGGAUCUCUACAUGUUCCGUUGCCAUGAGAGGAGCAUGCACCGAUACAAUCGCUGGUGGCAGUGGUUGCCAAUCCCUUGAGAAAAUGACAAGAGCAUAUGCAACCCUUGGACCUCCACAACGUCAGUGUUCUUCCAGGAGGAAUUUUUUGAUCAUAGAAAGUCGUUCUUCUGAAAACUGGCUUGAACUUUUACGUGGAGGCAUGCAUAUAUAUAAAUUCUGGAAGAUUAUUUUCAGAUUAUCACCUUCGAUCUCCCACACUUGAAGCUUUUGCUUCUAUGGUAAGACAAUCCAUCACUUAAUUGCAGACAUUCUCAAU